rnacentral:rRNA from 1 species
UACGAAGGGAGCUAGCGUUGUUCGGAAUCACUGGGCGUAAAGCGCACGUAGGCGGGUUUGUAAGUCAGGGGUGAAAUCCCGGGGCUCAACCUCGGAACUGCCUCUGAUACUGCAAAUCUCGAGUCCGGAAGAGGUGGGUGGAAUUCCUAGUGUAGAGGUGAAAUUCGUAGAUAUUAGGAAGAACACCGGUGGCGAAGGCGGCCCACUGGUCCGGUACUGACGCUGAGGUGCGAAAGCGUGGGGAGCAAACAGG